GGAUUCCCCUAGUAACUGCGAGUGAAGCGGGAAAAGCUCAAAUUUAAAAUCUGGUGGUCUCUGGCCAUCCGAGUUGUAAUCUAGAGAAGWGUUAUCCGCGCUGGACCGUGUACAAGUCUCCUGGAAUGGAGCGUCAUAGAGGGUGAGAAUCCCGUCUUUGAUACGGACUGCCAGGGCUUUGUGAUGCGCUCUCAAAGAGUCGAGUUGUUUGGGAAUGCAGCUCAAAAUGGGUGGUAAAUUCCAUCUAAAGCUAAAUAUUGGCGAGAGACCGAUAGCGAACAAGUACCGUGAGGGAAAGAUGAAAAGAACUUUGGAAAGAGAGUUAAACAGUACGUGAAAUUGCUGAAAGGGAAACGCUUGAAGUCAGUCGCGUUGUCUGGGGAUCAACCUUACUUUUGUUGGGCGUACUUUCCAGAUGACGGGUCAGCAUCAAUUUUGACCGUUGGAUAAAGUCUAGAGGAAUGUGGCAUCUUCGGAUGUGUUAUAGCCUUUGGUCGCAUACAACGGUUGGGAUUGAGGAACUCAGCACGCCGAAAGGCCGGGUACUUGUACCACGUUCGUGCUUAGGAUGCUGGCAUAAUGGCUUUAAUCGACCCGUCUUGAAACACGGACCAAGGAGUCUAACAUGCCUGCGAGUAUUUGGGUGGAAAACCCGAGUGCGUAAUGAAAGUGAAAGUUGAGAUCCCUGUCAUGGGGAGCAUCGACGCCCGGACCAGACCUUUUGUGACGGAUCUGCGGUAGAGCAUGUAUGUUGGGACCCGAAAGAUGGUGAACUAUGCCUGAAUAGGGUGAAGCCAGAGGAAACUCUGGUGGAGGCUCGUAGCGAUUCUGACGUGCAAAUCGAUCGUCAAAUUUGGGUAUAGGGGCGAAAGACU
rnacentral:rRNA from 1 species